UGUCAAUGAUUUCAGGGCAGAUGAAGUGGAUGUGCGUAUCGAUACCGCCAGGGGUAACAAUAUAGCCCCAGCCGCCGUGUACUUCCGUACCGGGGCCGAUGAUCAUACCCGGGGUAACACCAUCCUGUGUAUCAGGGUUACCGGCUUUACCGAUGGCUUUGAUUUUACCGUCUUUCACACCUAUAUCUGCUUUUACAAUACCCCAGUGAUCGAUGAUGAUAGCACCGAGGAUACAGAGGUCCAGUGCGUCUUUGUCCAUCGUGGAAGUGGAUUGUCCCAUCCCGUCACGAACG
rnacentral:sRNA from 1 species